rnacentral:rRNA from 1 species
CUUGGCGACCAUAGCGUUUUGGACCCACCUGAYUUCCAUGCCGAACUCAGAAGUGAAACGAAAUAGCGUCGAUGGUAGUGUGGGGCUUCCCCAUGUGAGAGUAGAACAUCGCCAGGC